GAUGAACGCUAGCGGGAGGCCUAACACAUGCAAGCCGAGCGGUAUUGUUUCUUCGGAAAUGAGAGAGCGGCGUACGGGUGCGUAACACGUGUGCAACCUGCCUUUAUCUGGGGGAUAGCCUUUCGAAAGGAAGAUUAAUACUCCAUAAUAUAUUGAACGGCAUCGUUUAAUAUUGAAAGCUCCGCCGGAUAGAGAUGGGCACGCGCAAGAUUAGCUAGUUGGUGAGGUAACGGCUCACCAAGGCGAUGAUCUUUAGGGGGCCUGAGAGGGUGAUCCCCCACACUGGUACUGAGACACGGACCAGACUCCUACGGGAGGCAGCAGUGAGGAAUAUUAGUCAAUGGGUGCAAGCCUGAACCAGCCAUCCCGCGUGAAGGACGACUGCCCUAUGGGUUGUAAACUUCUUUUGUAUAGGGAUAAACCUACCCUCGUGAGGGUAGCUGAAGGUACUAUACGAAUAAGCACCGGCUAACUCCGUG
rnacentral:rRNA from 1 species